GAUGAACGCUGGCGGCGUGCCUAAUACAUGCCAGUCGAGCGAACAGACGAGGAGCUUGCUCCUCUGACGUUAGCGGCGGACGGGUGAGUAACACGUGGAUAACCUACCUAUAAGACUGGGAUAACUUCGGGAAACCGGAGCUAAUACCGGAUAAUAUAUUGAACCGCAUGGUUCAAUAGUGAAAGACGGUUUUGCUGUCACUUAUAGAUGGAUCCGCGCCGCAUUAGCUAGUUGGUAAGGUAACGGCUUACCAAGGCAACGAUGCGUAGCCGACCUGAGAGGGUGAUCGGCCACACUGGAACUGAGACACGGUCCAGACUCCGACGGGAGGCAGCAGUAGGGAAUCUUCCGCAAUGGGCGAAAGCCUGACGGAGCAACGCCGCGUGAGUGAUGAAGGUCUUCGGAUCGUAAAACUCUGUUAUUAGGGAAGAACAAAUGUGUAAGUAACUAUGCACGUCUUGACGGUACCUAAUCAGAAAGCCACGGCUAACUACGU
rnacentral:rRNA from 1 species